AGGACUUUAGUUAAAUUAAUAAUAUUAGUUUGUCAGACUAUAGUUGCUGUUAGAGCAAGCCCUG
rnacentral:tRNA from 1 species